rnacentral:lncRNA from 1 species
UCCGUAACAACACUUCUCCGGAAAAAUCCCACAAAACUAACUCGAUUCGCUUCACUCCAUUCCCAAUGUAACGCAAACAGAAACUCCAAACUCAAUCCACAGCCGUUACGAACCUGUUUCAAAGUUAAACCGUAUCCACGUUCUCCUACUGUAAAUUCCCAUUAUGUGGAAUUUGAAUGAGCAUAUCAUAUUUAUAUAGACCCGCCCUCCCACAACUCCAGCUAUACAUGUUCUUCAAUGAUAUUUAAAAGGUUAAGCAAUGGGAUUGAUCAAAUUGCAAUCAGGUCGAUUGGUUGGUCAGCACGAAUCGACUCCUCCGAUACAUCAUCACAAAACCGCUCUUUUCAUGGAUUAAACUUCACCAUUUCUGGGGCAAUUAUUAUUGGAUCACAAUCUGUC